UCCUUGACGCGGACGAAACGCGGAGGGGAGGCUGGAGACCAGUGGGGCAAGGAAGCAUGGGAGGCGUUGGCGAGGCUCCUAAUCCUCCCAUCCUCUCCUCCUCAUGUCUAGAAGAUUCGAUGGUGGAUGAGCCGUCCGGCAACGGGAGAAGGGGCGGAGGGGAUGGAGACCGCGUCGCCCACCUACAAGGAUGGAGGCGGCCAUCGGUGGGGCGGAGGCCGCGGCGUCCACCGGCGGAAGGGAGGUGGACGGAGGUGGCGGAGACUGUCGGGGAUUGAGGCGGAUCGAUUGACAUAGACAACAAGAUGGGUGCAGAGUCUGCCCACCUCGACUGCAAGCAGCAGUAAGCCGCUGAAUACCAUGAGAAACUGAGAAUCAAGUGCUCGCUCUUCUUUUUUCAAGAUCAGAGAUGCUAUCACCCAAAGGCAGGUACACAAUGUUGUCAUGUACAUCCUUUGUCUGCUAUGGGUUCUUCUACCUCUAUUUUUGCUCCGCACUCUUAUAUUCAUUGUCAACCUGUUAUUAUGGUUGCCUCUGUUGGUUCUAGAUUAUGCCGCACACCUGAUGUUUGAAUGAAUUGGUUCCUGGUGCACACCUCCCCUCUCCGAGGAACUAGACGUUGACAUUCAUAGAUGGAUGAUGCCUGGGACCUCGUGCACGUCGCAGGCUCCAAGGGAGGCUGAAGGUGUGGAUCAGCCUAGCCGAUGAGCUGUAGGUUGAUGUGAAUGGCGUUGGUGAGAAAGUUUCAUUGUUUUCUUAUCAGUGGUCGUUUUUGAGAUUUGUUCCUUGCAUGUGCUAUACAAGUUAUGUUCCUGGCUGGUGGUAUACCGAAGUAAUGGCUGAAGUGCUAUUAUAGCCCAGUUUGACCCAGAAACAAUGGUAUCAAGUGGUGAUGA